CUGAUCUACACACAAAAGUAGCAGGACCCUGC
rnacentral:piRNA from 1 species